GUUAAACUGAUGUCAGAUGCAAUGUACACCCCUACCAAUCAUUCGUACAUUUUACUUCAUAGCAUGUGUAACCUUGAGUAUUUUCAUUUCUGGCAACUGUGUGUAUGCAACUGCCAUUUCUCUAAUGGAAGCGAAGGGAUACGGAGGUAAACAUUUGGUUGUAUUAUGAUUUCUUUUACCUAAAUAUUUUCCCUUUUCAGCAUAUAAUCGUAGAAAUCCAUAGCAACGGUUUCACGCAGCCAUCGCAACUAACAGCAGCAAUGGAUCGCCUCUCGAUCCAUUUGUUGUUCCAGGAAACGAUGGAGAUCAGUUGGGCCAAUCGUGCCGUCGGGAGCGAGGAAACCAGCAACAACCGUUUUACACUGAGCAAUCAACAGCUACCGAUUCGGACAACAUCGACUCGGAUGGAAGCAGCAGCAACAGCGCAGAUUGUCGGUGUUAUUCCAUAUACUGUCUGCAGCAAAAACUCCACUAGCUGAUGAACGAUAUGCUAUGACGAAAGUAUCACAAUUUUCAAACACAUCGUCACAUUAUAUAAAAAUAAGAAUAUUAAUAAAAAUAAUAAUAUUUUAAAUAAAAACUAUAUUGAACCAAUGGAUGGCCAACAAAUUAGCCAUUACCAAAGCCGAAAUCGAGCCAACAUUGGACUUACAAACCAUAGUUUUGUUUGACAUUUGUGUCUACCAAUUUUUUUUCGUAGCAUGUACCA